AUGAUUCAAUUGUUACCAGUUCUUCACAGAUCUGAUGGAGAUCUACACACCACACCAAUGGUAUACCAGUUCUUCACAGAUCUACACACCGAUGGUUCAAUUGAUGCCAGUUCAAUCAUACCAGUUCGUCACAGAUCUGAUGGAGAUCUAAACACUGAUGUUCUUCACAGUUCUUCACAGAUCCGAUAUCAUUUGUUAAGACCUACUUUCCAUUUCCUCUUUAGGUGUCGUGGUUGA